ACAGGGCUGGCUGAUCCGUGCACUUUCACUUAAUGAUGUUGCGCGGAUUCUUGAACCAGUCCUGCUGC
ensembl:miRNA gga-mir-7452 gga-mir-7452